rnacentral:rRNA from 1 species
AACGAACGCUGGCGGCGCGCCUAAUACAUGCAAGUCGAGCGAGAAGACGUAGCAAUACGUUUGUAAAGCGGCGAACGGGUGAGGAAUACAUGGGUAACCUACCCUCGAGUGGGAAUAACUAGCCGAAAGGUUAGCUAAUACCGCGUACGCUCCUUGGACUUCGGUUCAGGGAGGAAAGCGAUACCGUGGGUAUCGCGCUCUUGGAUGGGCUCAUGUCCUAUCAGCUUGUUGGUGAGGAACGGCUCACCAAGGCUUCGACGGGUAGCUGGUCUGAGAGGACGAUCAGCCACACUGGCACUGCGACACGGGCCAGACUCCUACGGGAGGCAGCAGUAAGGAAUAUUGCG